GAAACCGUGAGAAAUCCUGAAAUCCCCAAUCUCUCUUUCAGUUCAAAGGCAGCCGUGACUCGCGAGAGGCAAGACUUCUUCCCCAUCGUCAAAGCUGCAGCUCUCCCACGCCGGUCUCCUAGCCGCUAGCCUCUUGUAUGUAUUUCCCUCGAAGUCUGUAACUGUAGUUUCAUUUCUCCUCUUCUCCUACCCUUACCAUUUACCAAUAUGCCUGCACUUAUGUAGUUAUGUUCGACUUUCACAAGUUUCAUUUGAGUGGUCUAUCCUUUCCUGGAUUUGUUUGUCUUUUGCUGGAUUUCAUUUUGCCUGCAAUGGACUUAUGCACAAUAUGCCUUCACUUAUGAUCAAUGGACUGCCAUGCAAAUAAGCUAAUGUUUACUUGACUUCAACUGUUGCUUUGUUAAUGAGUCCAUAAACACUUUAGAUUUUUGUUUCUUCCCUGCCAUGAAAGUCCCUUCCAGUUCACACCAUAGUAAAGAACAAAUGCUAGGAUUUUGUUUUAUUAUUAUUUUUUUUUUCUGCUAUAAAAGAUCCAAUUGACUUUGUUCCUUUGUAUUUUUUAAUGACCUUUAGUAAGUCUACUGGUCAAACUUUUUCGUGUUGUAAAUCUCUUAUUUUCUUGGUCUGGCUAGCAUAACAUUUCCAAGUUGAUUAGCAGUAACUGAAUAAAAUUUUUCAGAUUCUAGUGGAAAAAGAAAGGAUUUUACUUGAAGUUUUUAUAUAGACUUUACUGGUAUGAAUUUCUCUGGCAUGGAUGUUAUCAAGAUAGUUUUCAUCGUCUUUUCCAAUUUGGCGAGGGAUGCGUUGGCAAUUCAAGUUUCAACUGUUGCUUCAAAAAGUGCAUUUAGUACUGGAGGAAGGAUCAUUGAUCCUUUCCGUGAUCUUUAAGUCCUAAAAUGGUGGAGGUCUUGGUAUGCAUUCAAAAUUGGUUGAAAACUUCACCGAACUUGGAUGGUUUCUACAUGGAAGAUGUUGAGCAUUACAACCAAUUGGAUGGAAGUUAUAUAUAUAUUGAUCAAGGGCCCAACGCUAAGUGAUUCAUUCAUUUUACAAGUUUCCAGGCAGACUUUUUCUUGACGUGUAUCUUAGCAAAUGGGCUAUCUGGAUUUUCUCUGGAGCUUCUUCAACCUGGUCUGCUUAUCUGGAUUCUGGGAUAUGAUGAAGUCACGCAAAUAGAAGACCAAAUUGGAAGAAAUGUGAUGGUUAUUGGGAUGAUUAAUUUUGUAUUUACAUUUUAGGUUUGAUGAUUGGAAUUAUUUAGCAUUUUUAUUUCAGUAAUUUGUGUGGUUGACGUCU